rnacentral:lncRNA from 1 species
GCCAUGCCAUAUUGCCAUGUGGCAGUAAUUAGAGAUUGAUGUAUGCAUGCAGAAAAAUAAUUGGGACGCACGGAAUGAGACCCGACUAUAUAUAUAGGUGAAAUGACCAAACGUUUUCUCAUCAAAAAGCAGACAUUGUUUUAUAAUACUAGCUAGCUAUCUACAUAACUAAUAUUAAUGGGUUUAACUGGUAAGUUGAUAUGCCAAACAGGAAUCAACUCAGAUGGAGAUGUGUUUCAUGAACUAUAUUCCAUCGGUAAGAAAAAGAAAAAAAAUAUAGUACAAUAUUUACUCUUAAUUUCCUUGCUACUAGUAUCUAAGUAUGUCAAAUAUUGUAAGAUUUAAUUAAUAUUUUCGGGAGAAAAAAAGUUAAUAAAAUAUAGGACUCUUAUUUUCGGAUGGAAAGGAGACGAUUGCAAAGGAC